rnacentral:lncRNA from 1 species
ACCGCGGCAUCCUGGGAGGCGUAGUUCUCACUCCUAUGACAGAAAACGAGGGUGUGGCCAGCAAAGGACUUCAAGGCCCAUGAUCCCUUAGGAGGGGGCCGGCUGCAUUAGGGGUGGCUGCUGGUUUGUAACGUCUACGAGAAAACAGUCUCGGAGCUAAAAAUGAAUGGGAAUAAUCCACAUGAGAGUUGCUCCUUCUGCCUGGGCCUGGGAAUGAGAAGACCUGUGGAGCUGAGCUACUGCUUACCCACAACCUGCAUAUACAUAAAUCAGAAGCCAGCACUGGUUGUUGUGAGUCGCUUAGAUUUUGGGCUUGAUGAAGAUGACCUUAGGCACAGUGACCCUGAAGGCCACAUGUUAAAGACAGUGGAGCCACAGGAUGGAAGGAAGCUGGUUCCCUGAAUCAUCACGUGGCAGAGAGCGGACCACUAAUCAGGAUCAUGUGUUUCAGAUUUCACUUGACCAAUAAAUCAAUUUCAAUUUUGUUACACUG